GACGAACCGUGCAAACGUUAUUCGGAAUCACUGGGCGUAAAGGGCGCGUAGGCGGCUUCAUAAGUCAGGGGUGAAAUCCGGCAGCUCAACUGUCGCAGUGCCUUUGAUACUGUGGAGCUAGAGGGAGGUAGGGGUCUGUGGAACUUCCGGUGGAGCGGUGAAAUGCGUUGAUAUCGGGAGGAACGCCGGUGGCGAAAGCGACGGACUGGAUCUCUUCUGACGCUGAGGCGCGAAAGCCAGGGGAGCAAACGGG
rnacentral:rRNA from 1 species